rnacentral:rRNA from 1 species
GUUGGGUAGGGGAGCGUUCUGUAAGCCUGUGAAGGUGUGUCGUGAGGCAUGCUGGAGGUAUCAGAAGUGCGAAUGCUGACAUAAGUAACGAUAAAGCGGGUGAAAAGCCCGCUCGCCGGAAGACCAAGGGUUCCUGUCCAACGUUAAUCGGGGCAGGGUGAGUCGACCCCUAAGGCGAGGCCGAAAGGCGUAGUCGAUGGGAAACGGGUUAAUAUUCCCGUACUUGGUGUUACUGCGAAGGGGGGACGGAGAAGGCUAUGUUGGCCGGGCGACGGUUGUCCCGGUUUAAGCGUGUAGGUGUGUGUUCCAGGUAAAUCCGGUUCACUUUAACACUGAGGCGUGAUGACGAGGCACUACGGUGCUGAAGCAACAAAUGCCCUGCUUCCAGGAAAAGCCUCUAAGCAUCAGGUAACAUCAAAUCGUACCCCAAACCGACACAGGUGGUCAGGUAGAGAAUACCAAGGCGCUUGAGAGAACUCGGGUGAAGGAACUAGGCAAAAUGGUGCCGUAACUUCGGGAGAAGGCACGCUGACACGUAGGUGAAGUGAUUUACUCAUGGAGCUGAAGUCAGUCGAAGAUACCAGCUGGCUGCAACUGUUUAUUAAAAACACAGCACUGUGCAAACACGAAAGUGGACGUAUACGGUGUGACGCCUGCCCGGUGCCGGAAGGUUAAUUGAUGGGGUCAGCGCAAGCGAAGCUCCUGAUCGAAGCCCCGGUAAACGGCGGCCGUAACUAUAACGGUCCUAAGGUAGCGAAAUUCCUUGUCGGGUAAGUUCCGACCUGCACGAAUGGCGUAAUGAUGGCCAGGCUGUCUCCACCCGAGACUCAGUGAAAUUGAACUCGCUGUGAAGAUGCAGUGUACCCGCGGCAAGACGGAAAGACCCCGUGAACCUUUACUAUAGCUUGACACUGAACAUUGAGCCUUGAUGUGUAGGAUAGGUGGGAGGCUUUGAAGUGUGGACGCCAGUCUGCAUGGAGCCGACCUUGAAAUACCACCCUUUAAUGUUUGAUGUUCUAACGUGGACCCGUAAUCCGGGUUGCGGACAGUGUCUGGUGGGUAGUUUGACUGGGGCGGUCUCCUCCUAAAGAGUAACGGAGGAGCACGAAGGUUGGCUAAUCCUGGUCGGACAUCAGGAGGUUAGUGCAAUGGCAUAAGC